rnacentral:misc_RNA from 1 species
GUGACUCGCGGCGUAGAAGCAAUCCCGUCGCCAUUCGAAAGACAUGCUGCAUCUCAAAUUGCCAGGAGGCCAGCAACCGACAGGAGCUCAACAUCGAUGUCAAGCAUGUAUCGUUUAUUGUCAAGUUCCUCUCCCGGUUAACGUUUCGAUAUAUUGAACGUAUUGACAUGUCACGCACUCUGAUAACGAGACACGGACUAACCGUUCAAAAGACUACUAUCCUGAUCCUGCAAGGACGAUAUGUCACGUGGUUUUGCAAUAGAGGGGAUACUAUUACAUGCUUACCCCAAAAUCUGCUCGCCUAAUACAAAACUGGUCGUCUGCUUGAAUUUUCGAUUGACGAGUAUUCGACAGCCGAUCAACAGCAACUAAUAUAUUCUUUAAAAAUAAUUAUAUGACAGGGAGCGAUACUGGUGUACGUGACUCAGCUACGCAUGUCAAGCGAAUCGAGCGAACCAGUUGCUUUUCCAUAAUAUCCAGGCAACAGGCCGGAGGCUACAGCUUCCAGCAUCCACCUCUGGAUCAACGCGGGCAUAUGGAGUAAACAAGCAUGACAUGGUAUACAUUCCUGGUAGCAUCGAAACACAAUGAGAUGUCGUAAACGCAAGAAGAUGACAGAAAAUCGAUAGGACGCCUUCCAGAUCUGAACCGACUUGCUCCUUACGAUUCUUCGCUGCUUUCUUUCAUGCUCGAAUAAACAUAGUAACGUGAUGCUGACCUGAUAUUUUUCAGACGUUGCGUGUCUUACUGCUCUCUUCUUUCAUACUCGACACUAUGCGUCAAAAAAAUAUUGAGUCGCAAUAAUAUGUAUUGGUGAAUUGGAAACUAUUACUACCCUCGAUACUAUCCUGUUACGGUGACACGUCAUAGUCGUCAUGUCUCGACAAUUUGAUGUGAAAUCGAUAAAUUGCUCGAGGCCUGUUUCCUUUACAAAUACACAUUGUACACAUGUCUUUUAUCCGUAAUUCUGUGCAAGAAUAUAUUAUUGCGUAUAUCAAACAGGUGGAUAAAACCCAUGUGAUUGAAACAGUAAUAUUUAAAUAAUAAAGUGCAAAGAACGCAUAUCUUAGUAUGUAUUUUUUUUUAAUAAAUAUCUUUAUUAGCAUGUACAGAAAAAAUUAUAGAUUAAACAAAUAAUUUUUUAGAGUGGGAAAGUAUAUAACAUUAUGUAGUACAACGAUAUGAAGAAAAGAAAUCUUGAGACGGAAUGGUUCACCCUAACUUCGACAAAUACGUUUGCGUGCCUUAGUAUCGAUUUCACGUCAGUUUCAUGUCAUAAAGACGUCAAACACACGGUUUUCAUCAGGACAACAUCCUCGGCUUGAAUUUACGACCACUGGCAAGCAACAGGUCCCGCGGGAACGAGUCCUCUCACAUGCAAAGA